AUGAUUAGAGACUUCUGCUGGGGGGAUGAAGAAGGAAAGAGAAGGGUCCACUGGAUGUCAUGGGAGCGCAUGACUAAACCAAAGCGUGCUGGUGGUAUAGGCUUCAGAGACAUGCACUUGUUUAACCAAGCACUCCUUGCCAAACAAGGUUGGAGGUUAAUUCAAUUCCCAGAAAGUCUAUGCUCGAGGGUCUUGAAAUCUAAGUACUACUCCAAUGGUGAUCUCCCGGAUACUGUGUUUGCCUCAGAUGCCUCCCUGGUGUGGAGGGCAAUUGAAUUCGGACUAGAACUGCUGAAAAUGGGUUUAAUUUGGCGGGUGGGAGACGGAAAAAAUAUUCAGAUCCAACGAGAUCAAUGGAUACCGGGAAAAGAAUGA
rnacentral:rRNA from 1 species